AAACAGGCAUCACCCUUGCACGCAACAUGCAGCUGGGAUAGCCAAACUGAUACAAAAAACUGCACACAUAGUCAUGGGACAUUCACUGUUGGUGUUAACGUCACACAGUGUAGUGGCAUAUUCCUGGAAGCUCCUAACAUUUCAUUCACACACGAAGGCGUGAACAUGGCAGACUGUUUUUCAGAAGGAGAACCACACGUGUGUGCAGAACUUGUGGCAACAGAAGAGAAGGAAAGCAGAGAGACUACAAGGGGCAGCAUCUGCGCAGAGGGCAGAAAUAAAAGCAGUGAUCGAAGCGUUAAAGCUUGCCCAAGGAUCACAGGUAAAUGUGUACACAGAUUGAGCUUAUGUUGCAGGAACAGUGCAUUUGGAACUUUGCCAAUGGAUGAGGUGGUAAGAUGCCAAAAGGGGGCGCCACUUGAAGAGAAAAACCUGUGGAAGCAACGAGGCGCCACUGAAACAAAUGGAUGCUGGAGGGGUCCAGACGGUAGGUUAAUUCUGCCACCUGAAAAAAAACAAGAGCUGCUUCAAGAAGCUCACGGGGUGGGACAUGUUGGGACUAAACAGAUGAUGCAUAAUCUUAAAGACUGGUGGCAUCCCCAAAUGAUCCACAUGGUGAAACAGUUUGUAAACAAUUGUGAAAUGUGUGGACAGUUUAACCCUAAGAAAACUUUGAAAC